CUUGACAUCGCAUUCCCAUAGCCCCGGCCAAGCGCUCCGGCGGGCCAGAGCCAGAAAAUAUCGCCAUUGGCUCCACGGAAAAGUUCAGAACUGAGAUCUUGGAUGGCUGACAGAGCAUGUGACGGAGCAGCCCCGGCUGAGGAGCCGUCCAGCACCUUUCAUGUCUCAGUUUGCAGCUCUGUGACACCAAUGACUUCUGGGCUGUCACCCCAACAGAAAAAUCCGAGGCCAUGUGAGCAAGCUUGUCACACACCCUGCCUGAUGAUAAGGCAAGUUAUCACCAUUAUUCUUUGACCUAUUUUUUGGCUUGUAAAUGGCUGGGUCUGAAUUCCCAGCCAGAGACUGAAGAUAUUGUUUAUUGAUCUAUUGUAUAGGAUUGCCUUGAAAGAGUUAGCAUUUGUCUUAGGUGACUCACAGAUUGCUCUGAUGAUGGAUGUGUGCUUUGGUUUGCUCUCAGUGCAUCUGUCUCGCUCUCUGUGUGCAUAUAUGUCCA
rnacentral:lncRNA from 1 species